rnacentral:tRNA from 1 species
GGGGUUAUCCCUUAAAUGGUAGAGGGCUCGUUUUGCAUACGAGUAGUCCGAGUUCGAGUUCGAGUCUCGGUAACUCCA